CCUACGGGGGGCAGCAGUGAGGAAUAUUGGUCAAUGGUCGGGAGACUGAACCAGCCAAGCCGCGUGAGGGAUGAAGGUACAGAGUAUCGUAAGCCUCUUUUAUCAGGGAACAAAGGCGGGGACGUGUCCCCGGAUGAGUGUACCUGAAGAAAAAGCAUCGGCUAACUCCGUGCCAGCAGCCGCGGUAAUACGGAGGAUGCGAGCGUUAUCCGGAUUUAUUGGGUUUAAAGGGUGCGCAGGCGGUCUGUUAAGUCAGCGGUCAAAGCCCGGGGCCCAACCCCGGGACUGCUCUUGGAACUGCGUGG
rnacentral:rRNA from 1 species